UACGGAGGGGGCAAGCGUUGUUCGGAAUUACUGGGCGUAAAGGGCGCGCAGGCGGCUGCUCAAGUCAGGCGUGAAAGGCCUGGGCUCAACCCGGGAAUUGCGCUUGAGACUGGGCUGGCUUGAGUGCGGGAGAGGAUGGUGGAAUUCCCAGUGUAGAGGUGAAAUUCGUAGAUAUUGGGAAGAACACCGGUGGCGAAGGCGGCCAUCUGGACCGCAACUGACGCUGAGGCACGAAAGCGUGGGGAGCGAACAGG
rnacentral:rRNA from 1 species